UUUUUUUUUUUUAAUAAAUAGAACAUUUUUUGAAGUGGAAUUUUAAGCAAAUGAAAUAUUUCCAUCAUCUUUGAAAAAUACUGCAACAAAAGGCGAGUAUUGCAGUUCGUAUUAAUAAAAUAAUUUGCAAUGUUCAUGAUCGGACAACAAUAAUUAAUGAAAAUUGCACUGUAAAACCGUUAAGUCGAACUACAACCGCUGUCAACUUGAAUGGUUUUCUUAUUCGAAAUGUGACAAAUUUGUUUAUAAAUGCGCAACUUUGGAAGAAAUCUGAAAUAAGUUUUCGACCAUUUCUUGUAAACGUAACUGUCGAUUAUUGUGAAUACUUUACAAAUAAAGCAGCAGGAGGAGCUUAUAUGAAAAUUGUUGCUCCAAUUUAUAUGCCUUACACAAAUAUGAAUCACACUUGUCCUUAUUCUGGUCACAUAUUUUUAGAGGAUUUACCUAUCGAUGCUGAAAAGUUACCAAACUUUUGGCCACCUGGUAAUUAUCGAUUGGAUUUGUUGGCAUAUGAAAAGAAUCGAGGACGUUUAGUCACAAUUCAGGUUUUCUUUGAAGUAAAGGAAAACAGAGGAAAACUAUUUUGAUCAAAUCAAAUAGUCAAGCGAAUUGUAAACUUCAUAUAAUAAUUAUUUGUUGUGUAAUGGUGAAAUAAAACUCAGAAUUUUUUGAUGAUGUUUUUAUUGGGUCAAA